ACGGGGGGUGCGAGCGUUGUCCGGAAUCACUGGGCGUAAAGGGCGCGUAGGUGGUCUGAUAAGGGUGUGGUGAAAGCCCGGGGCUCAACCCCGGGUCGGCCGUGCCGACUGUUGGACUAGAGUGCUGUAGGGGCAGGCGGAAUUCCGGGUGUAGCGGUGGAAUGCGUAGAGAUCCGAAGGAACCCCAGAGGCGAAGGCGGCCUGCUGGGCUGCACCUGACGCUGAACCGCGAAAGCCAGGGGAGCGAACGGGA
rnacentral:rRNA from 1 species